GCUGGGCAUGGUUACGUGUGCCUGUAGUCCCAGCUAGUCUGGAGGCUGAGAUAGAAGGAUUGCUUUAGUCCAGGAGUUCUGGGCUGUCAUGCACUAUGCCUAUAGGGUGUCCACACUAAGUCUGGCAGCAAUAUGGUGACCUCCCUCUCCUGGGCUAAUCAGUAGUGGGAUCACACCUGUGAAUAACCACUGUACUCCAGUCUGGGCAGCAUAGUGAGACCCCAUCUCUU
rnacentral:SRP_RNA from 1 species